UUGUUGUUGUGGUGGUUGUUGUGGUGGUUGUUGUUGUGGUGGUUGUUGUUGUGGUGGUUGUUGUGGUGGUGGUUGUUGUGGUGGUGGUUGUUGUGGUGGUGGUUGUUAUUGUGGUGUAGUUGUUAUGGUUGUGAUUGUGGUGGUUGCUGUGGUUGUGAGUGGUGUUGUUUGCGAAUGGUGGUGGUGGUUAUGAUUUGUGGUGGUUCUGGUGGCGAUGUUUGUUCUGGUGGUGGUUGUUCUGGUGGUGGUUGUUGUUGUGGGAAGGAUUUUUUUGCAUUUGUAUACACCAUUACUACAAUUCCCAGAGUACGUUAUUGUAGUAUUUAACCGUG